AGUGGCGGACGGGUGAGUAACGCGUGGGUAACCUGCCUCAUACAGGGGGAUAACAGUUGGAAACGGCUGCUAAAACCGCAUAAGCAUACACUGUCGCAUGACAGAGUGUGAAAAUAUUUAUAGGUAUGAGAUGGGCCCGCGUCUGAUUAGCUAGUUGGUAAGGUAACGGCUUACCAAGGCGACGAUCAGUAGCCGGCUUGAGAGAGUGACCGGCCACAUUGGGACUGAGACACGGCCCAAACUCCUACGGGAGGCAGCAGUGGGGAAUAUUGCACAAUGGGGGAAACCCUGAUGCAGCGACGCCGCGUGAGUGAAGAAGUAUUUCGGUAUGUAAAGCUCUAUCAGCAGGGAAGAAAUUGACGGUACCUGACUAAGAAGCCCCGGCUAACUACGUGCCAGCAGCCGCGGUAAUACGUAGGGGGCAAGCGUUAUCCGGAUUUACUGGGUGUAAAGGGAGCGUAGGUGGUUCGGUAAGUCAGAUGUGAAAGCCCGGGGCUCAACCCCGGGAUUGCAUUUGAAACUAUCGGACUAGAGUGCAGGAGAGGUAAGUGGAAUUCCUAGUGUAGCGGUGAAAUGCGUAGAUAUUAGGAGGAACACCAGUGGCGAAGGCGGCUUACUGGACUGUAACUGACACUGAGGCUCGAAAGCGUGGGGAGCAAACAGGAUUAGAUACCCUGGUAGUCCACGCGGUAAACGCUGUUUACUAGGUGUCGGGGGUCAAAAGACCUCCGGUGCCGCAGCUAACGCAAUAA
rnacentral:rRNA from 1 species